GAUGAACGCUGGCGGCGUGCCUAACACAUGCAAGUCGAACGGACAUUUUUUGGAAAGCUCUUCGGGACUGGAAUCUAAAUGUUAGUGGCGGACGGGUGAGUAACGCGUGAGCAAUCCGCCUUUCAGAGGGGGAUAACAGCCGGAAACGGCUGCUAAUACCGCAUAAUGCAUCGGAUUCGCAUGUUUUUGAUGCCAAAGAUUUUAUCGCUGAAAGAUGAGCUCGCGUCUGAUUAGCUAGUUGGCGGGGUAACGGCCCACCAAGGCGACGAUCAGUAGCCGGACUGAGAGGUUGAACGGCCACAUUGGGACUGAGACACGGCCCAG
rnacentral:rRNA from 1 species